AGUGAACGCUGGCGGUAGGCCUAACACAUGCAAGUCGAACGGCAGCACAGUAAGAGCUUGCUCUUACGGGUGGCGAGUGGCGGACGGGCGAGGAAUACAUCGGAAUCUACUUUUUCGUGGGGGAUAACGUAGGGAAACUUACGCUAAUACCGCAUACGACCUACGGGUGAAAGCAGGGGAUCUUCGGACCUUGCGCGAUUGAAUGAGCCGAUGUCGGAUUAGCUAGUUGGCGGGGUAAAGGCCCACCAAGGCGACGAUCCGUAGCUGGUCUGAGAGGAUGAUCAGCCACACUGGAACUGAGACACGGUCCAGACUCCUACGGGAGGCAGCAGUGGGGAAUAUUGGACAAUGGGCGCAAGCCUGAUCCAGCCAUACCGCGUGGGUGAAGAAGGCCUUCGGGUCGUAAAGCCCUUUUGUUGGGAAAGAAAAGCAGCAGGUUAAUACCCCGCUGUUCUGACGGUACCCAAAGAAUAAGCACCGGCUAACUUCGUG
rnacentral:rRNA from 1 species